UACGGGGGGGGCAAGCGUUGCUCGGAAUUACUGGGCGUAAAGGGCUCGUAGGCGGCCAACUAAGUCAUACGUGAAAUCCCUCAGCUUAACUGGGGAACUGCGUGUGAUACUGGAUGGCUUGGAUUUGGGAGAGGGAUGCGGAAUUCCAGGUGUAGCGGUGAAAUGCGUAGAUAUCUGGAGGAACACCGGUGGCGAAGGCGGCAUCCUGGACCGAUAUUGACGCUGAGGAGCGAAAGCUAGGGGAGCAAACGGG
rnacentral:rRNA from 1 species